AUUUCACCUAAGUUGCAUAAAGAUAUGAAUAUGCCUUUUUUUCUUCUUUUUUUUAGCACAUCAUAUACAAAGUCAAACCUUAAGCACAUGAUUGUUUUCUAAAAUACAAACGUUCCUGGCAAACCAGUCUUCAUGAAUUUGAUGAAAAGGAUAGAUCCCCAAAACUUGAAAAUGAAGAAUCAUUUAAAGAUGCAGAACUACUAUAAAUCACAGGACAAGCUGCCAGGCAAGAUGAAGAUGUCAUCCAAAUGGCUUUUUUUGCCUUGAGGAUAUGAUAUUAUUUUGAAAUGUGAACGACAUCAUCUUACACUCUAGGAUUUUAUUUAAUUUCUCUUAUUGUAUGGUACAUAAAGAGUGCUUUCCAGAGUAGAAACACACUCCUCUACUACAGUGUAAAAUACUGUGUUUUUAAAAAUUGCAACUUAGAGGACCAAGAAAAGAAGAGCAAUGUGAUGUGCUUUUCUACUACAUUAAUAGGAUAUGAAUCUGGAGCUUGAUCGCGUUUCCUUCAAGACAGCUUACGCCCUUUGGAAGUUGAAAACACCUUGCACCAUCUGCAACAAGUUCUGUUCUCUUUGUGGACUGAAGUCUUCUCACAGACUAUGUCAGAAUAGAUCUCUGCAGCUAUGAACCAGAAAGCAAUAAGCAUAAUUUCAUAUAGAAAUGGAGUUGGCUACUGAAACAGGCAGUUCAUCUUGACUAAGGCAUUCCCUAUAGUAAGUAACAAUCCCUGAAAUUAAUCAUAAUGACUAAUCACUACUGCUACCUACUCGCUCCCUAUUUUUCCGUGUGCUUACCAUAUGCCCUCUAAAAAUUUCCUGUCAAACUUAAAUAGCUGUCUUACUGCUGAUAAGCCAACUAUGGUGAAAUGCACACUCUAUAUUAAAG
ensembl:lncRNA